rnacentral:rRNA from 1 species
GACGAACGCUGGCGGCGUGCCUAAUACAUGCAAGUAGGACGCAGUUGCGAACGGGUGAGUAACGCGUAGGUAACUACCUAUUAGAGGGGGAUAACUAUUGGAAACGAUAGCUAAUACCGCAUACUAGUAGAUGGACCUGCGUUGUAUUAGCUAGUAGGUAGGGUAAUGGCCUACCUAGGCAAUGAUACAUAGCCGAACUGGGAGGGUGGUCGGCCACAAUGGGACUGGGACACGGCCCAGACUCCUACGGGGAGCAGCAGGAGGGAAUCUUCGGCAAUGGGGGGAAACCUUGACGGGCAACGCCGGGGGGGUGGAGGAGGUUUUCGGGUCGGAAAGCUCUGUUGUUAAGGAAACGGUACUUAACCAGAAAGGGACGGCUAACUACGUGCCAGCAGCCGCGGUAAUUC